rnacentral:rRNA from 1 species
UAUCAAUAAGCGGAGCACAAGGGUCCCUGCAUAUCAAUAAGCGGAGCAUAAGAGGUCCCUGCAUAGCAAUAAGCGGAUCGUAAGGGUCCCUUCAAACCGAGUCAUCUGCGAUCUAAGGGAAUCCCGCUGCGAUGAUAUGCCCAAUUCCAUGUAAAGUUCCUUCGACGAGUCGAGUUGUUUGGGAAUGCAGCUCUAAGUGGGUGGUAAAUUCCAUCUAAAGCUAAAUAUUGGCGAGAGACCGAUAGCGAACAAGUACUGUGAAGGAAAGAUGAAAAGAACUUUGAAAAGAGAGUGAAAAAGUACGUGAAAUUGUUGAAAGGGAAGGGCUUGAGGUCAGACUUGGUUUUACCAGGCCAGCAUCAGUUUGGGUGGCAGGAUAAGUGCGUAGGAAAGUGGCUCCACCUCGGUGGAGUGUUAUAGCCUGCGUCGAUACUGCCUGCCUAUACUGAGGACUGCGUCUUUGACUAGGAUGCUGGCAUAAUGACCUUAAGCC